UACGUAGGGUGCGAGCGUUGUCCGGAAUUAUUGGGCGUAAAGGGCUCGUAGGCGGUCUGUCGCGUCGGGAGUGAAAACUCAGGGCUUAACUCUGAGCCUGCGGUCGAUACGGGCAGACUUGAGUUCGGUAGGGGAGACUGGAAUUCCUGGUGUAGCGGUGAAAUGCGCAGAUAUCAGGAGGAACACCGGUGGCGAAGGCGGGUCUCUGGGCCGAUACUGACGCUGAGGAGCGAAAGCGUGGGGAGCGAACAGG
rnacentral:rRNA from 1 species